GACGAACGCUGGCGGCGCGCUUAACACAUGCAAGUCGAACGGAAAGGCCUGCUUUCCCUUGUGGAUUGCGGGUACUCGAGUGGCGAACGGGUGAGUAACACGUGAGUGAUCUGCCCCCAACUUGGGUAUAAGCCUGGGAAACUGGGUCUAAUUCCCGAUAGGACUGCAGGGUGGUGCCUGUGGUGGAAAACGAUUUUCUAGUGGUUGGGGAUGAGCUCGCGGCCUAUCAGCUUGUUGGUGGGGUAAUGGCCUACCAAGGCGGCGACGGGUAGCCGGCCUGAGAGGGUGGACGGCCACAUUGGGACUGAGAUACGGCCCAGACUCCUACGGGAGGCAGCAGUGGGGAAUAUUGCACAAUGGGCGGAAGCCUGAGGCAGCGACGCCGCGUGGGGGAUGACGGCCUUCGGGUUGUAAACUCCUUUCGACCGCGAGGAAGCCACCUGGUUGGAAGGGUGGUGACGGUAGUGGUAGAAGAAGCACCGGCUAACUACGUG
rnacentral:rRNA from 1 species